CGGAAUAUGGCGUAGUCAGGUAGCGCUUCUGUUUUGGGAAUAGAAAGUCAUAGGUUCAAAUCCUAUUAUUCCGA
rfam:Eimeria praecox, Houghton, WGS project CBTT01000000 data, contig: Eph_scaff6587_1